ACUUUCUGGGCAGUUUUGAGAACCUAACAAGAACUUGGACGAAGUUGGAUGAAAACUUGAAUCAAAACACUUUCUAACUAAUCUAAGACUUCAAAAUAAAGGGGGAUUUGUUUUGGACGAAAAUUGAAAACAAAACAUAAACUUUAAAACAAAACAGAUUGUAAAACGUUUUUGGAUGAAAAGGAUGGAUAAAAGGCUAGUUAGGAGGUU
rnacentral:lncRNA from 1 species